CCUACGGGAGGCAGCAGUGGGGAAUAUUGGGCAAUGGGCGCAAGCCUGACCCAGCAACGCCGCGUGAAGGAAGAAAGCUUUCGGGUUGUAAACUUCUUUUAAGAGGGAAGAGCAGAAGACGGUACCUCUUGAAUAAGCCACGGCUAACUACGUGCCAGCAGCCGCGGUAAUACGUAGGUGGCAAGCGUUAUCCGGAGUUAUUGGGUGUAAAGGGCGUGUAGGCGGGAAAGCAAGUCAGAUGUGAAACCUCAGGGCUCAACCCUGAGCCUGCAUUUGACACUGUUUUUCUUGAGUGCUGGAGAGGCAAUCGGAAUUCCGUGGGUAGCGGUGAAAUGCGUAGAUAUACGGAGGAACACCAGUGGCGAAGGCGGAUUGCUGGACAGUAACUGACGCUGAGGCGCGAAAGCGUGGGGAGCAAACAGGAUUAGAUACCCUAGUAGUC
rnacentral:rRNA from 1 species